rnacentral:lncRNA from 1 species
UCGUGGUUGUGUUGUUACAACCGGAAGGAAAGGUUUUGUGUUGUGUUGUCAAGUUUUAUAUUUCUGGGGUGUUUAGUUGUGUGCCAAGUUUCGUAUUUCUGGGGCGUUUAGUUGUGUUGUUAUAGUCACGAUGUGUUGUUGUGAGUUUUAUAUUUCUGGGGCGUUUAGUUGUGUGCCAAGUUUUGUAUUUCUGGGGCGUUUAGUUGUGUUGUUAUCGCAUGAUGCGUUGUUGUGAGUU